UCACAAGUUGUUAUCCCCGGCAUGAGGAGAAGAACCUACUAGCUACCGUAUGAAAAACCAGCACCAAUCUCUCUCCCAAGUUUCAAGCCAAUCUUCCAGUUUCAUCAUCGCCGGCACCAUCUUUUUCGGAGUUCUCUCCCCGUCGCCUCACCGGUAGUUAUCAAAGAGGGAAGGCAUGCAAGGCCCUCCUGGUCUGCGUCCUCCGGCCCCAUUCUACCCCGGCGGAUACCCUCCUCCGCCGGGCUGGCCUGGUUACCCUAUGCCAUUUGUUCCGGUGCAAGGGUACGGAGCUCCACCUGGUGCGUAUCCUCAACCCGGAGGAUACCCUCCGGCCGGGUAUCCACAACAACAUGGCCAUGCGCAGCCCGCUGGCUAUGCCGUCCAUGAUAAAUCGAAGAAGAAGUCUUCAAAGAAAGGAAAAAAAGGUAAGGGUGGUGGCUUCGGCUCAUUCCUCGCCGGUGCCGCUAGCGGUGCAGUUACGGUACUUGGAGCUGUAUUGGCUGAAGAUGAAGAACAGUCUUCUGGCAAGUUCAAAUGGAAGUGAUAAACCAAGAAAAAGAAUGCAAUUACCAUUUUGUCUUUCGGUCGGUUCAGCAAAAAAUUACUUAUAUACUUCUAAGAAAAAAAUGCAAUUACCAUCAUAAUGCCGGUUAUUUCUCUCUUAUGGAUUUGUAGUACAAUAUGAUCUAUCGGAGAUUUGUUCAGCACAUAAGACAAAGAUUAAAUGCUCGAAUCUAUAUACAUGCAUCAAUAGAAGGACAGAAAGGCGGCUAAAUAUAAGUUUUGCAUGCCUGCAGUUACUGCUAUGUAAAAUUCUUCAAUGAUUUUUUCGA